CACUGCACUCCAGCCUGGCGACAGAGCAAGACUCCAUCUAUUAAAACAACAACAACAACAACAAAAAAACAUCAUCCGGGGAAGCUUUUCAAUAUCCUGACGUUGGGUCUCUCCAGUGUAGAUGGAAAUACAUGGAAUUGGGAAUAGACAUCGAUAUUUUUGGAGGUCCCCAGGGGUUACCAAUGUGCAGACAGGUUUGGGAACCACUGCAUUAGGCAUUUUACAUUUAUUUAGGGCUUUCACUGGAUUUGUCACCCCAUACUUUCAUAAUCCAUUUUUUCUGAUUUUUUUUCUGGUUUUUGGUGAGGGUAUAGUUGGGAUGGGGUUUUUUUUUUUUGUCCUCCCACCGCUCGCCCCCAUCCAGUGUGGCGUACUCAUUAAUAUGAAUCUCUCUGUGUCAGACACCAUGCAAGAUCACUUAGUUUGCCUAUUUUUUUUCUCUUACUCCUCUUUUUUUUGAGACAGAGUCUCGCUUUGUUGCCCAGGCUGGAGUGCAGUGGCAUGAUCUCGGCUCACUGCAGGCUCCACCUCCCGGGUUAAUGCCAUUCUCCUGCCUCAGCCUCCCCAGUAGCUAGGAUUACACCUGGCUAAUUUUUUGUAUUUUUAGUAGAGACAGUGUUUCACCGUGCUAGCCAGGAUGGUCUCAAUCUUCUGACCUCGUGAUCCGCCCGCCUCGGCCUCCCAAAGUGCUAGGAUUACAGGCGUGAGCCACCGUGCCCGGGUCCUGUUUUUUUUUUUUUUUUUUGAGACAGAGUCUCGCCCUGUCACCCAGGCUGGAGUGCAGUGGCAUGAUCUUGGCUCAUUGCAACCUCCACCUUCCGGGUUCAAACCAUUCUCCUGCCUCAGCCUCCCAAGUAGCUGGGAUUAUAGGCGCCCACCACCACACCCAGCUAAUUUUUGUAUUUUUUAGUGAGAUGGAGUUUCACCAUGUUGGCCAGGCUGGUCUCGAACUCCUGACCUCGUGAGCUGCCUGCCUUGGCCUCCCAAAGUUCUGGGAUUACAGGCAUGAGCCACCACAACCGGCCUAUUUUUUUUAUUUUUAUUUGAGAUAGAGUCUCACUCUGUCACCCAGGCUGGAGUGCAGUGGUGCAAUCUCAGCUCACUGCAACCUCCACUUGCCGGGUUUAAGUGAUUCUCCUGCUUCAGCCUCCUGAGUAGCUGGGAUUACAGGCAUACACCACCACACCCAGCUCAUUUUUGUAUUUUUAGUAGAGAUGGGGUUUCGCCAUGUUAGCCUAACAGGAAGAUGAGUUCAAAUUUGAGAAAUAAAAUUUGGAUGUUGGGAAAGAGAACAAAUC
rnacentral:lncRNA from 10 species